CAGGCCUAACACAUGCAAGUCGAACGGAGCACCUUCGGGUGUUCAGUGGCGAACGGUCGCGUAACACGUAAGCAACCUGCCCAAAAGUUGGGGAUAACGAGCCGAAAGGUUCGCUAAUACCGAAUGUGGUCCGGGAACGGCAUCGUUUCUUGACUAAAGCUUAAUGUGCUUUUGGAUGGGCUUGCGGCCUAUCAGUUAGUUGGUGGGGUAAUGGCCUACCAAGGCGACGAUCAGUAGCUGGUCUGAGAGGAUGAUCAGCCACACUGGGACUGAGACACGGCCCAGACUCCUACGGGAGGCAGCAGUGGGGAAUAUUGGACAAUGGGCGAAAGCCUGAUCCAGCAAUGCCGCGUGAGUGAUGAAGGCCUUAGGGUUGUAAAGCUCUUUUACCCGGGAAGAUAAUGACUGUACCGGGAGAAUAAGCUCCGGCUAACUCCGUGCCAGCAGCCGCGGUAAU
rnacentral:rRNA from 1 species